GAUGAAGAACGCAGCAAAAUGCGAUAAGUAAUGUGAAUUGCAGAAUUCAGUGAAUCAUCGAAUCUUUGAACGCACAUUGCGCCCGCUGGUAUUCCGGCGGGCAUGCCUGUUCGAGCGUCAUUUCAACCCUCAAGCCCCCGGGUUUGGUGUUGGGGAUCGGCUCUGCCCUUCUGGGCGGUGCCGCCCCCGAAAUACAUUGACGGUCUCGCUGCAGCCUCCAUUGCGUAGUAGCUAACACCUCGCAACUGGAACGCGGCGCGGCCAUGCCGUAAAACCCCAACUUCUGAAUGUUGACCUCGGAUCAGGUAGGAAUACCCGCUGAACUUAAGCAUAUCAAUAAGCGGAGGA
rnacentral:misc_RNA from 1 species